CUUGUCGGGUAAGUUCCGACCUGCACGAAUGGCGUAAUGAUGGCCAGGCUGUCUCCACCCGAGACUCAGUGAAAUUGAACUCGCUGUGAAGAUGCAGUGUACCCGCGGCAAGACGGAAAGACCCCGUGAACCUUUACUAUAGCUUGACACUGAACAUUGAGCCUUGAUGUGUAGGAUAGGUGGGAGGCUUUGAAGUGUGGACGCCAGUCUGCAUGGAGCCGACCUUGAAAUACCACCCUUUAAUGUUUGAUGUUCUAACGUUGGCCCGUAAUCCGGGUUGCGGACAGUGUCUGGUGGGUAGUUUGACUGGGGCGGUCUCCUCCUAAAGAGUAACGGAGGAGCACGAAGGUUGGCUAAUCCUGGUCGGACAUCAGGAGGUUAGUGCAAUGGCAUAAGCCAGCUUGACUGCGAGCGUGACGGCGCGAGCAGGUGCGAAAGCAGGUCAUAGUGAUCCGGUGGUUCUGAAUGGAAGGGCCAUCGCUCAACGGAUAAAAGGUACUCCGGGGAUAACAGGCUGAUACCGCCCAAGAGUUCAUAUCGACGGCGGUGUUUGGCACCUCGAUGUCGGCUCAUCACAUCCUGGGGCUGAAGUAGGUCCCAAGGGUAUGGCUGUUCGCCAUUUAAAGUGGUACGCGAGCUGGGUUUAGAACGUCGUGAGACAGUUCGGUCCCUAUCUGCCGUGGGCGCUGGAGAACUGAGGGGGGCUGCUCCUAGUACGAGAGGACCGGAGUGGACGCAUCACUGGUGUUCGGGUUGUCAUGCCAAUGGCACUGCCCGGUAGCUAAAUGCGGAAGAGAUAAGUGCUGAAAGCAUCUAAGCACGAAACUUGCCCCGAGAUGAGUUCUCCCUGACUCCUUGAGGGUCCUGAAGGAACGUUGAAGACGACGACGUUGAUAGGCCGGGUGUGUAAGCGCAGCGAUGCGUUGAGCUAACCGGUACUAAUGAACCGUGAGGCUUAACCUU
rnacentral:rRNA from 1 species